CCUACGGGUGGCAGCAGUGAGGAAUUUUGCGCAAUGGCCGCAAGGCUGACGCAGCAACGCCGCGUGGGUGAUGAAGGCCUUCGGGUCGUAAAGCCCUGUCAGGUGGGAAGAAAGGCCUUGAUAAGAAACGGUUGAGGUUUGACGGUACCACCAGAGGAAGCACCGGCUAACUCCGUGCCAGCAGCCGCGGUAAUACGGAGGGUGCGAGCGUUAUUCGGAAUUACUGGGCGCAGGGAUCGUGGUGUGAGGGGAAAGCCCUGGGCUUAACCUGGGAAGUGCAUUGGAAACUGCAUGUCUUGAGUACUGGAGAGGAAGGGGGAAUUCCCGGUGUAGAGGUGAAAUUCGUAGAGAUCGGGAGGAAUACCAGUGGCGUAGGCGCCCUUCUGGACGGUAACUGACGCUGAGACGCGAAAGCGUGGGGAGCAAACAGGAUUAGAUACCCCAGUAGUC
rnacentral:rRNA from 1 species